ACCGGAUGGAAGACCUGAAAGAUACCCCUGAGAAUAAAACCUCUGUUCCCUGAGAUGACCUUUUUAUACCACUGUCUUUAGCUGUCUAGAGAGAUAUGUUGUUUUUUUUCCCUUUGGGCCAAGUUCUGUCUAAGACCUGUGUUUUCACUCCUGUUACCAAACCUUUCUGCCUAGCCCUAUAUCCCCAGUAAGUUUCUUCUAGAACGUGUUCCAUUUCAGCAUGGGGGCCCACAGCCUCCAGUGUGUCACUGUAAUGCGUAGAGAAGAGGCUGGCCAUGGCAUCUUGGAGGCCAGGGUCCAACUCAAAUGUCCUGCUAAGGUUUGCUCAGCUCUAUGACCCAGGAAACAACCAGUGAGUGAUGUCUCAUGAGAUUUGCCACUGGAUGGCUAAAUAGCACUUACUAUCUCUGUUCUGAAUAUACUUCAGUAUCUGAAAGUCUUGAAAUUCGUAUAGUCGGUUCUUUAUUUUCAAACACGUUGGUCUUCAAUUGCUGCUUUUCACUCUUCAACUUAUAAACUAUAGUCGGUGUUAACAUACAUUUUAAAAAUCACAACACGUCGUGACUUUGCAACAGAGUUUCCCCAGUUUUUUUUGCUUUUCCACAUUUUGGUUUAUCUCUUUGGUCCAUGUUGUCCUGUCAUAUAAACAGUAGAUCAUUUAUUGAGAGUUUUCUCCCCUUUUAGAGAGUUCUGAAACGAUAGCACACAGCAUCAGAAAGUAGCACAAGGCAGUUGGGUUUUUUUGGGGGGUGGGGGGAGGAGAACACAGAACACCAGGAAGGGUGUUGAUGUGUAGGUAGAUUCCAUAUUAGUAAAAUACCUUGAACUGGUCAGAGGUCACUGCUUUCUCUAGAACUAUAAAGCAAAGCACUAUUCUAAGAUUAAGGAGUAGCUAUAUAGCUUGGCCUCAACUUUAAAUGCGUGAAUAUGAAGAAUCCUAUGGACAGAGACCUACCUGCAGAAGUUUGUCACUUUCAUUUCUUUGUCCAAAUUACUGUUUUUCCGGUGGGCAUUACAUAUAUUGCUAUAGCCUCUAUGUACAGAACUUACAGUGCAUGGAUCAGGCCUUUUUCUGUCCAAGUCUAGGGGGACUGUGGAUCCUGUAAAGCUGUGGAGUGUUUCCACACUGCAGAGGAGUAGCUUGGAGGAAUGCGGGGCCCAUUCAGCAUAGGGAUCCUAGCGUAUCACUGUAGAAUUUGAGUGAUCUAUGCUGCAUAAACAGUGGAAUGUGACCUGUCAAGUAGAAAUAUUGAGUAAUCAGAUGGAAUGCAAUCUUCAGCAUUAAGCUAUUGAGAUUCUGAAUGUCAGAGAUGUACUCAGAGGGUUAACAGACAAGCACAAGGCAUGCUGAUUACAUUGGUGUAUCCAGACUGCUUUGCUUUUAGCCAGUGCUUUCAAAUUUUUUUCACGACAUUCUUGGGAUAGUUCAAGUUUGAAAUAAUUAAGUGGUGGUGUUCUUUAAGGAAUUUCUAUAACCAAAUUGAUCUUAUUUUUUAUUUCACUUUAUCAUAGAAUAAAUAUGUAUCAUUAUGGCAGUGUAUCUCUGUAAUUAUCGAUUUAAUCAUUGCCACAGUGUUUCCAUAUAUUUUUUUUCUAAGUAUUUACUAUAGCUCUUAUGGUGGUGGCCUGGUGAUGGGGACUGUCUUUCAUUUAUUGAUACAUGACCAACCAGAUGGUAUUUUCAAGGGAAUUUUUAGAUACAUCUUUUUAGUUGGGUAGUAGACUAACUAAAGAAGAACUCCAUGACUUGCAUCGUGUAAAUCAUCUUGGUAGAUGAGAACUGUUCCUAUUGAUGAAGACAUUGUAGCAGAAAUCAUUUUAUUCGUCAUAAUCAAUGAAUAUGUGAUUUGCUCCACAUCAUUAGAAGGAAAAGUAAGAUUUCAGUCAUUGAAAAUGUUUUUACUGUAGCCCUCAUCUAACUAACACGUGGUGCAUAUUAAAAUAAGCAGAGAAAAAAAUACAAAUAAACUGCUGAAAACACUCAGUGUUUUGUAUUCAGUGAGACCUUCCUGCAAUACUCAGUACCCCCAUGGGUGGUGGUUAACAGGCCCGUCAGAUAUUAUUGAAAGAAAGCAAUAUAUCCAUGAAUGAAGGCUAAAAUUGCAAUCCUUUACCCUUUGAGGCAUAUUUCAGUUGGAAAAAGAAAAGAAAAGAAAAAUUGGUUUAGCUUAGAGGGUCAUGGAGCUACCGUAUGACCAAGGCUCACACACAUUAAAUCACAGUUGUUUGCUGGCCAACGGUGCCCAUUAGACGACUCUGUACCCCACGCUGAAGUACGACUGUGCUUGAGGGACAGCUUUCCUAAUAUUAUUGUGUUGCCUGCUAGCCCUUCUCAGGGUAAGGAUCUGUCAGCAUUUCCAAGAUAAACUUCUGUUUUCAAAGGUUUUUAAUUUGACCAUAAAAAGGUGCCCCAGGCUAAAGUUUGCUAUAUAGGGCCUGUUCACUUCCUUUUCUGCCUAAUUCUCCCUAGAAAAGGGCAGCAACAACAACAAAUUUGGCAUGUCCCCUUCACUAUAAUUGCAGAAUUGUGGAAAGCACCAAGAAGCAAGAUGGUGGUUUCAACGUAAUGAUUCAUUUGGAUGUGGGUUUAAAAAAACACUAAUGAGUCACCUGGCAUUUAUUGUAGAUAACAUAUCUUUUCUAUAAUUUGUAAAUUGCUAUUUUUUAAACUGCUACAUGAUUAUGAUUAUGAUUUUUUUUUUCCCAAAGAUCUUUAGGAAACUUGACGUUUUCAGUUCAAAAGUUAACCUUUCCUGGAUGUUAUCUGCCAUUUCCCUUAGGAGUUUGGGAAAAAUACUCUCAGACCUACCCUUACUUUGCAUGUUGUGAUAGAGGGUCAGAUAUAGGCUUCUUCUGAAGAUGCAGAUUUCUUUAUUCAAUCAUUAGGUUUCAGGAAGCCAUUCUUAUCUGUUGGGGAAAAUAGUGAUUAAAAGCACUUCCAGAAUUAACAUUUUGUCAAUUCAAAUAUGGUAAGAGCAUAAAUCAACACACUUUAUACUUUUUUUGGUUUUUCAAAAGCAAAUAAAUCAACACAACUUGAAGAUACUAAACAUCUGAUUACUGCAAAUGUGCUUUAAAAUUGGCUCAAUGGUGCUUAUACAUAAAACAGUAACAAAUGGGGUUCCUAGGACUGUCAGAAGGAAUCUUUAAUUUGUAUGUAAUUACAUACUCGAGGAGGAGGUGCUUUUAAGCCUGUCUUUUAUUUUUUAAUCAUCUCAAAUAUGCAACCAUCCAUCCAGUAACAUUAAGGGUCGUAAACUGGUGGGAAACAGGAAAUUCAACGUAGAGGCUUAGAAUGCCUCUGGUUAGGGUGGAUUUUUUCGGUUUUGUUGUUGUUGUUGAUAGGCUUCAACACUGAGGCUGCCGUGAUCAUUUUUCAGUGAUCAAGCUUCUAACUGGCAGGUGUUUUGAUCAUGAGGUUUGCAGUAUCUUGCCCUAAAGGAAGAGCGAUCGCUAUAAUUAAACCAUACCUGUAAAUUUCUUCAGCAUUCUUUUUUGGUCAACUGAAAAGAGACCCUUAAUGUUGCUUUACUGUAAAAUUGUAUAUUUUUGUCUGUGAUAUACUUUAUUGAUUUAAAGUAAAUAAUAGUUCUAAAAGCCUUCACUGUCGGUAUUAAGAGAAAGUAGGAUUUUAAAAGUGAUGAUAAAGAUGCUAUAAUGUCAAUUCAUUCCAGUCCAAUCAAAUGUGGUAAGAAAAAGACCUUGAAUAGUUCUCUAGGGACAAUUUCUCACUUGCCAUUGACAUUAAUCUUUGAUGUAUGCUCAGAAAAAAUAAAAAGAAAUUGAAACUGGUCCAAGGUUAGAGUCAUAGCCUUGAUAACUAUUUUUUUAAUUUUAUUAGGAAAUUAAUAAUAGCCUUUUUCAUUCUGGCUGAAAGAAAAUUAUUAAAGGAUUAGUUGGGUGUGAAAUUAAAUAGUAUUUUGCUCAUGCAUACUAAAAAGGUGGGCUAGGUACUUGAUGUGUUUAAACAAGUUUCUGAAAGGUUUCAAUUUGGUGCAAGAAAAAAAUUCAAUGUUUCCUUUGAAAAUACUGAAUUUAUCAAUUGCUGCAUGGAUCAGAUGGCAUAGGUUAAUCUUUGAUUUUCAGAAUCUUAAUGAAAUAACUUUUGAACGAUUUGUAUCCACGAUUAAAGCUGGAAUGAGAUCCGAUUUUUCCCCUAAUCUCUCAGUUUAAGCUAAUAAAUGUAGGUUAAUGUGGAAUGAAAUCAUCUGUGAUAUAUUAUGUUUAUUUAUCUCAACUGAGCUUUUUUGAUGUUGCCUGUUUUUAUGUAAAACAUGUUCUUAAAGUUAAUAAAACAAUAGUA
rnacentral:lncRNA from 1 species